rnacentral:lncRNA from 1 species
CGAAACGUCGUAUCGACUCUACAACAUAUUUAUAUUUUUUCAGGUUUUUCUUCCAUACCUCCCUUUCGUCGGGAUUUAUAUGUUGACCUUAUGACACUGCUCAGACUUCCAGAGGUGGGUUUAUGUCUGGAUGGCGAGGGUUGUUUCUAUUCCCUCUCCACGGGAUGCCGACUCACACGACAAGCUAAUUGCAACUUGGUAUAUUUUGCGUCCCACCCUCUUUUUUUCAAUAGGCUGACGAGUCGACAUCAUGGACACUUUAUCUAUAGUCGGCGGGCUGAAGCAUCGCAUCGAAUACCCCUUUGGGAUUUUUACAAGUUGGUCCAUUUUGUGUCACUCCCUCCUUUUUUAUCAGACUGGCAAGUCGACAUCACGGACACUUUAUUUAUAGUCGACGGGCCGAAACGUCACGUUGACAGUACAAAAU